rnacentral:rRNA from 1 species
UAACACAUGCAAGUCGAACGGUAGCAGGAAGUGCUUGCACUUUGCUGACGAGUGGCGGACGGGUGAGUAAUGCUUGGGAACUUGCCUUUGCGAGGGGGAUAACAGUUGGAAACGACUGCUAAUACCGCAUAAUGUCUACGGACCAAACGGGGCUUAGGCUUCGGCGCAGAGAGAGGCCCAAGUGAGAUUAGCUAGUUGGUGGGGUAAAGGCUCACCAAGGCGACGAUCUCUAGCUGUUCUGAGAGGAAGAUCAGCCACACUGGGACUGAGACACGGCCCAGACUCCUACGGGAGGCAGCAGUGGGGAAUAUUGCACAAUGGGGGGAACCCUGAUGCAGCCAUGCCGCGUGUGUGAAGAAGGCCUUCGGGUUGUAAAGCACUUUCAGUUGUGAGGAAAAGUGAGUAGUUAAUACCUGCUCACCGUGACGUUAACAACAGAAGAAGCACCGGCUAACUCCGUGCCAGCAGCCGCGGUAAUACGGAGGGUGCGAGCGUUAAUCGGAAUUACUGGGCGUAAAGCGCACGCAGGCGGUUUGUUAAGCUAGAUGUGAAAGCCCCGAGCUCAACUUGGGAUGGUCAUUUAGAACUGGCAGACUAGAGUCUUGGAGAGGGGAGUGGAAUUCCAGGUGUAGCGGUGAAAUGCGUAGAUAUCUGGAGGAACAUCAGUGGCGAAGGCGACUCCCUGGCCAAAGACUGACGCUCAUGUGCGAAAGUGUGGGUAGCGAACAGGAUUAGAUACCCUGGUAGUCCACACCGUAAACGCUGUCUACUAGCUGUUUGUGACCUUAAGUCGUGAGUAGCGAAGCUAACGCGAUAAGUAGACCGCCUGGGGAGUACGGCCGCAAGGUUAAAACUCAAAUGAAUUGACGGGGGCCCGCACAAGCGGUGAGCAUGUGUUUAAUUCGAUGCAACGCGAAGAACCUUACCUACACUUGACAUGCAGAGAACUUUCCAGAGAUGGAUUGUGCCUUCGGGACUCUGACACAGGUGCUGCAUGCUGUCGUCGGCUCGUGUCGUGAUAUGUUGGGUAAGUCCCGCAACGAGCGCAACCCUUGUCCUUAAGUUGCCAGCAAUUCAGUUG